rnacentral:rRNA from 1 species
AUUGAACGCUGGCGGCAGGCCUAACACAUGCAAGUCGAGCGGAUGAAGGGAGCUUGCUCCUGGAUUCAGCGGCGGACGGGUGAGUAAUGCCUAGGAAUCUACCUGGUAGUGGGGGAUAACGUCCGGAAACGGGCGCUAAUACCGCAUACGUCCUGAGGGAGAAAGUGGGGGAUCUUCGGACCUCACGCUAUCAGAUGAGCCUAGGUCGGAUUAGCUAGUUGGUGGGGUAAAGGCCUACCAAGGCGACGAUCCGUAACUGGUCUGAGAGGAUGAUCAGUCACACUGGAACUGAGACACGGUCCAGACUCCUACGGGAGGCAGCAGUGGGGAAUAUUGGACAAUGGGCGAAAGCCUGAUCCAGACAUGCCGCGUGUGUGAAGAAGGUCUUCGGAUUGUAAAGCACUUUAAGUUGGGAGGAAGGGCAGUAAGUUAAUACCUUGCUGUUUUGACGUUACCAACAGAAUAAGCACCGGCUAACUUCGUG